rnacentral:rRNA from 1 species
AUUGAACGCUGGCGGCAGGCCUAACACAUGCAAGUCGAACGGUAGCACAGAGAGCUUGCUCUCGGGUGACGAGUGGCGGACGGGUGAGUAAUGUCUGGGAAACUGCCCGAGGGAGGGGGAUAACUACUGGAAACGGUAGCUAAUACCGCAUAACGUCGCAAGACCAAAGGGGGGGACCUUCGGGCCUAACACCAUCGGAUGUGCCCAGAUGGGAUUAGCUAGUAGGUGGGGUAAUGGCUCACCUAGGCGCCGAUCCCUAGCUGGUCUGAGAGGAUGACCAGCCACACUGGAACUGAGACACGGUCCAGACUCCUACGGGAGGCAGCAGUGGGGAAUAUUGCACAAUGGGCGCAAGCCUGAUGCAGCCAUGCCGCGUGUAUGAAGAAGGCCUUCGGGUUGUAAAGUACUUUCAGCGGGGAGGAAGGCGGUGAAGUUAAUAACUUCACCGAUUGACGUUACCCGCAGAAGAAGCACCGGCUAACUCCGUGCCAGCAGCCGCCGUAAGAC